GUGGCGUGUAAGGAGAGAGUGACUCGGCAAAUCGCGACUGGCGUGCUGUCGUGUGCGUGUCCAGCAAGCUGCUCGGACAAGGUGUACGGAAAGGCGAUAGGACUAUCGGAGUGGCCUGCCGACUCCUAUUUGUCGAAGCUGCUGGGCAAGCUUGGGACCAAAAGAGCCGGACGCGGUCCGGGAGCAGCCGUUUUGGCAGA